ensembl:lncRNA
UUGGGCAGAGGAUGGGGUUACUGCGCCCAGUCCCCGACUGUUCAGUGUCCGGCCAUGUGCGCGCGCUGCACCCGGGCCUGCGUGGGGAAACAGGGAGUGCAGACAGGGCCUCUGCGCCUGCGCGGCUGCUGUUCUAGGGGAGCAGGCUCGACAGACAACAUUUUGUAAGAAACUUCCACUAAGGAGACUGAGACGAAGAAUGACAAAGUGAGACAGAUAAAUGGAGAGAGGCAGGAAUGGGAGUCCUAGAUACGGUGGUCAGCAGGCUCUCUGGACAGGUGACCCUUGAGCAGGAAGCUUAAGAACCACACCUUAUUCCGGGGAAGGAUGUCCCUGGCUGAAGUGGGUCAGUGCAAAGGCCAGAAGCAGGGAAUCCAGAGAAGACCAAGGAAGAGGAGACAGCCACAUGAAGACAGAGGCACAGGCUGGAGUCAUCUGGGCAUGAGACAAGAACAUGGGCAGCUAGCAGGAGCUGAAAGAGAUGGGAGGACCCUCUGCCAGAGCCCUCAGAGCGAGUGAGGCCUCCAGGAUUGCGAGAGACAAACUGACUCAUUGGAAAAGACCCUGAUGCUGGGAAAGAUUGAAGACAGGGGGAGAAGGGGACGACAGAGGAUGAAGUGGUUGGAUGGCAUCACCAACUUGAUGGACAUGAAUUUGAGCAAACACUGGGAGUUAAUGAUGAACAGGAAAGCCUCACAUGCUGCAGUCCAUGGGCUUGCAAAGAGUCACACACGACUGAGCGACUGAACUGAACUGAAUUCUAUUUCAUUGAUCUGUACAUCUAUCCCGAGAGUCAGCAUCAAGUCUUCUGAAACACGCUGCCAUGGAGAAGAGGAGAGGGAGUGGCGGAGUGUGGGUUUAACUGUUGGUAUUAAUCGCUGCACGUGGGCUUGGGGGCAGAUGUCUCCCUCCCCUCUCAUGUGUGCGUGUGGAGGAAUUCCCCAGCUCGUCCCCACUGCUUCCUCUGGUCUAGGUAAGGAGGAGCGAUGUAUCUGAUUGUGGGAAUGUUUGGCCCAGCCGGGGAAAAAAUUAAGUCUUCUGGUCCAUGAACAUGGGAUGUCUAUUUAUUUAAGUCUGCUUUACUUUUCCCCAUGAUGUUUUGUCAAUUUCAGAGUGUAAGUUUUAUACUCAGUAAGUUCUUUAAAAAAAUUUUCAUUUAAAAAAGUUUUAUUGGAUUACAGUUGAUCUACAAUGCUGUGUUGGUUUCAGGUGUACAGCCACGUGAAUCAGUUAUGCAUAUACAUAUGUCCACUCUUCCAGAUUCUUUGCCCAUAUGGGCCUGUACUCAGUAACUUCCUACAGCACCUGUCCAGUCCUUACUUUGUAAAGCAGGCCUAUAAGGGUUCCUGGUUAUUCCUCUGUUCACCCUUCCCCACACCACCAUGUCCACCCUCAGUGACUAAUACCGUUUCCACUAAUAACAACAGCUUAACCCAGCUUAAGCACAUGCCCGGCACUGUUGUAGGAACUUGGCCUACAGUAACUAAUGGAAUCUUCAUAACUAUCCUAGGAGAGGAGGCCAGUGACUUGCCCAAGGUCUGCAACGAAUGGGGAGCAGAGCCAGAAUUCCACCCAGGUUGUCAGACGUCUGCAUCUCUGCUUUUCUUCGUUGACUUCCUUGCCUGUUUUGCAAUGGCAGUUGGGAUAUGUGUGGUUGAACCCCAUGAAGCAGCUGAUGUUUGACCACUUUUUAAAAUUAAU